GGCAAGAUGAUCGAAUGGUCAAGGUGACGCUUUCAAGCCAAGGCUUGCCCUGCAAAUCAGAGUACAGCGUCGGGGUAACCAGCUGGAGUUCGAAUCUCCCAUCUUGUCA